ensembl:snRNA U6 U6 spliceosomal RNA
GUGCUCGCUUCAACAGCACAUAUACUAAAAUUGGAACGAUACAGAGAAGAUUAGCAUGGCCCCUGCAUAAGGAUGACAGGAAGAAAAAAAAAAAAAAAUUUCU